rnacentral:tRNA from 1 species
GGAGAGGUGGCAGAGUGGUCGAUUGCACUCGACUUGAAAUCGAGAGACUCGAAAGAGUCCGGGAGUUCGAAUCUCCCCUUCUCCG